rnacentral:rRNA from 1 species
GGACGAAGUGGAUGAUCCUAUGCUGCCGAGAAAAACCUCUAGCGAGCUAUGCGCCGCCCGUACCCCAAACCGACUCAGGUGAUCAGGUAGAGAAUACUAAGGCGAUCGAGUGAACCAUGGUUAAGGAACUCGGCAAAAUGCCCCCGUAACUUCGGGAGAAGGGGGGCCGGAUUUGUCAAUGCACUUGCUGCAAGAAGCAAUGAUGGCCGCAGAGACCAGGCCCAAGCGACUGUUUACUAAAAACACAGGUCCGUGCGAAGUUGUAAGACGAUGUAUACGGACUGACUCCUGCCCGGUGCUGGAAGGUUAAGGGGACGGGUUAGCACGCAAGUGCGAAGCUCAGAACUUAAGCCCCAGUAAACGGCGGUGGUAACUACAACCAUCCUAAGGUAGCGAAAUUCCUUGUCGGGUAAGUUCCGACCUGCACGAAUGGAGUAACGACUUGGGCGCUGUCUCAACCAUGGACUCGGCGAAAUUGCACUACGAGUAAAGAUGCUCGUUACGCGCGGCAGGACGGAAAGACCCCGGGACCUUUACUACAAUUUGGUAUUGGUGUUUGGUUCGGCUUGUGUAGGAUAGGUGGGAGACUUUGAAGCAGGGACGCCAGUUCUUGUGGAGUCAACGUUGAAAUACCACUCUGGUCGUACUAGAUGUCUAACCUAGGUCCGUUAUCCGGAUCAGGGACAGUGCCUGAUGGGUAGUUUAACUGGGGCGGUUGCCUCCUAAAAUGUAACGGAGGCGCUCAAAGGUUCCCUCAGCCUGGUUGGCAAUCAGGUUUCGAGUGUAAGUGCACAAGGGAGCUUGACUGUGAGAGUGACAACUCGAGCAGGGACGAAAGUCGGAACUAGUGAUCCGGCGCUGGCAUGUGGAAGCGGCGUCGCUCAACGGAUAAAAGGUACCCCGGGGAUAACAGGCUGAUCUUCCCCAAGAGUCCAUAUCGACGGGAUGGUUUGGCACCUCGAUGUCGGCUCGUCGCAUCCUGGGGCUGGAGUAGGUCCCAAGGGUUGGGCUGUUCGCCCAUUAAAGCGGCACGCGAGCUGGGUUUAGAACGUCGUGAGACAGUUCGGUCCCUAUCCGCCGCGCGCGCAGGAAACUUGAGAAACGCUGUCCCUAGUACGAGAGGACCGGGAUGGACGAACCUCUGGUGUGCCAGUUGUUCUGCCAAGAGCACGGCUGGUUAGCUACGUUCGGAAGUGAUAACCGCUGAAAGCAUCUAAGCGGGAAGCACGUUUCAAGAUGAGGUUUCCCACCGGGUUAACCGGGUAAGGCCCCCAGUAGAACACUGGGUUGAUAGGCCGGAGGUGUACAGCAGUAAUGCCCAGCCGACCGGUACUAAUAGGCCGAGGGCUUGUCCAA